CGCCUGAGGAGGAUGUGGAGAAGAAAGGAAAUUCAUCAAAAGGAAGAGGAGGAAAAGCAAAAAUGAAAUGGAGAGGAAAAAAAAAAAAAAAGGAAGAGAAAGGAAAUGAGAGGCGGAAAAAAAAAACUGGGGGAAAAAAAGACAACUUUUUGAGACUGGAAUUAAAACCUGAGCAGCCCGAAGCCCGUCCUGCCGCAGCUCCGGGGGUACCUUUGGCACCAGGCGUUUGCAAAGCGAAUCCUAACUGGUUCCCGUCGGGGUAAAUGGUGAUUUAGAUGCUGGGAGGAGCGUGGGUUCACCCCGUGCGAUGCUCUGCCCAUUUUCUGGCUGGCGAAUCGGGGGUCUCUGGCCCCAGCGAAAGUUCGCAGAGGAAUUUCCUGAUCUGCUCGCUAUAACACCAACCCGGGAGUGGGGGCUAUAUGGAACCCCCCCCACCUCAAAAGCCAUGAGACCCUGGCCGUGUGGGAGCUGCCAGCAGGACCCGUCCUGCAGGACCCUCAGCAGAAGCCCCUCACCGCAGCUGCUCCCACGUGCACCCUCCUCCUCCUCUUCCUCCUCCUCCUGCCAGCAGACCCUGGCCUGAAGCGCGACGUAGACGGCGAUUUGCCCCAGCACGGGGCUCCGGCGCGGGGUCACCAGCACCAGUUUGGGCCCGGAUGGGGCGAAGAGGACGGCGGGACGUCCCCGUCCCGCAUGUGGGCAGCACAGCGGAGCCUCGCCGGUGAAGAACACAAGGCUGGAAGGAAAAAAAGAAAAAAAAAAAGAGGAAAAGAAAGAAAGAAAGUCUCCAAACCCAGGAAAUCUGUGUUAAUUGCUUAUGAAUGUCUCUGUCUAAAAAAUUAUCAAAUUGAUGUUGUCGUGCUUUUUUUUGACAGCCUGUCUGUUACAUUUUUUUUUAAAAUAUUCAUGCACCGAAAUCUAAUUACUAGGCAAAUUUAAUGAUAAUGAAAUGAAGGCACUUUAGCAGAAAGCACAGGGCCUUGUUAAUGUUUUCUCAGCCUCUGUCUUGUUCAUAUUUUUUAAAUUAUUUUUUUUUACAACUGCCUUUCUUGCAUAUAUAUAUAAAAAAAUAAAAAGGAUUGCUGAAAAUAAAACUUGGAUCGC